rnacentral:rRNA from 1 species
UACGUAGGGGGCGAGCGUUGUCCGGAUUCAUUGGGCGUAAAGAGCUCGUAGGCGGCUUGGCAAGUCGGGUGUGAAAACUCCAGGCUCAACCUGGAGAGGCCACCCGAUACUGCCAUGGCUAGAGUCCGGUAGGGGGUCAUGGAAUACCUGGUGUGAGCGGUGAAAUGCGCAGAUAUCAGGUGGAACACCGGUGGCGAAGGCGGUGGCCUGGGCCGGAACUGACGCUGGAGGAGCGAAAGCGUGGGGAGCAAACAGGAUUCGAGA